rnacentral:rRNA from 1 species
CUGGCGGCAUGCCUAAUACAAUGCAAGUCAAACGGACUAGCAAUAGUCAGUGGCGAACGGGUGAGUAACGCGUGAGAAACCUGCCCAGUAAGACGAGGAUAACGUCUGGAAACGGACGCUAAUACUGGAUAGUGUAACCUGGCGCAUGUCAAGUUAUUUAAAGGGGCGACCCACUUAUGGAUGGUCUUGCGUCGCAUUAGCUAGUUGGUGAGGUAACGGCCCACCAAGGCGACGAUGCGUAGCUGCGCUGAGAGGCGAAACAGCCACACUGGGACUGAGACACGGCCCAGACUCCUACGGGAGGCAGCAGUAGGGAAUUUUCGGCAAGUGGGGGAAACCCUGACCGAGCAAUGCCCGCGUGAAUUAUGAAGGUCUUCGGAUCGUAAAGUUCUUUUAUGUAGGAAGAAUGGCCCGUUCGGGGAGAUGACGGUACUACAUGAAUAAGCUCCGGCUAACCAUGUGCCAGCAGCCGC